rnacentral:rRNA from 1 species
AAGUCGGACUUCGGUCCGGCGGAAACUGGCGCACGGGUGAGUAACGCGUGGGGAUAUGCCCAAAGGUACGGAAUAACCGUUGGAAACGACGGCUAAUACCGUAUGCUCCCUCAGGGGAAAAGCUUCGGCGCCCUUGGAUUAUCCCGCGUCCGAUUAGCUUGUUGGUGAGGUAACGGCUCACCAAGGCUCCGAUCGGUAGCUGGUCUGAGAGGACGAUCAGCCACACUGGGACUGAGACACGGCCCAG